rnacentral:rRNA from 1 species
GACGAACGCUGGCGGCGUGCUUAACACAUGCAAGUCGAGCGGUAAGGCCCUUUCGGGGUACACGAGCGGCGAACGGGUGAGUAACACGUGGGUGACCUGCCCUCAGCUCUGGGAUAAGCCUGGGAAACCGGGUCUAAUACCGGAUAUGACUCCAUGACGCAUGUUGUGGGGUGGAAAGCCUUGUGCGGCUGAGGAUGGGCCCGCGGCCUAUCAGCUUGUUGGGUGGGGNGAUGGCCUACCAAGGCGACGACGGGUAGCCGGCCUGAGAGGGCGACCGGCCACACUGGGACUGAGACACGGCCCAGACUCCUACGGGAGGCAGCAGUGGGGAAUCUUGCGCAAUGGGCGAAAGCCUGACGCAGCGACGCCGCGUGAGGGAUGACGGCCU